ACGCUAGCUACUGGCUUAACACAUGCAAGUCGAGGGGCAUCAGGAAGAAAGCUUGCUUUCUUUGCUGGCGACCGGCGCACGGGUGAGUAACACGUAUCCAACCUGCCCUUUACUCGGGGAUAGCCUUUCGAAAGAAAGAUUAAUACCCGAUAGCAUAAUGAUUCCGCAUGGUUUCAUUAUUAAAGGAUUCCGGUAAAGGAUGGGGAUGCGUUCCAUUAGGUUGUUGGUGAGGUAACGGCCCACCAAGCCUUCGAUGGAUAGGGGUUCUGAGAGGAAGGUCCCCCACAUUGGAACUGAGACACGGUCCAAACUCCUACGGGAGGCAGCAGUGAGGAAUAUUGGUCAAUGGGCGCUAGCCUGAACCAGCCAAGUAGCGUGAAGGAUGAAGGCUCUAUGGGUCGUAAACUUCUUUUAUAUAAGAAUAAAGUGCAGUAUGUAUACUGUUUUGUAUGUAUUAUAUGAAUAAGGAUCGGCUAACUCCGUGCCAGCAGCCGCGGUAAUACGGAGGAUCCGAGCGUUAUCCGGAUUUAUUGGGUUUAAAGGGAGCGUAGGUGGACUGGUAAGUCAGUUGUGAAAGUUUGCGGCUCAACCGUAAAAUUGCAGUUGAUACUGUCAGUCUUGAGUACAGUAGAGGUGGGCGGAAUUCGUGGUGUAGCGGUGAAAUGCUUAGAUAUCACGAAGAACUCCGAUUGCGAAGGCAGCUCACUGGACUGCAACUGACACUGAUGCUCGAAAGUGUGGGUAUCAAACAGGAUUAGAUACCCUGGUAGUCCACACAGUAAACGAUGAAUACUCGCUGUUUGCGAUAUACAGUAAGCGGCCAAGCGAAAGCAUUAAGUAUUCCACCUGGGGAGUACGCCGGCAACGGUGAAACUCAAAGGAAUUGACGGGGGCCCGCACAAGCGGAGGAACAUGUGGUUUAAUUCGAUGAUACGCGAGGAACCUUACCCGGGCUUAAAUUGCAGUGGAAUGAUGUGGAAACAUGUCAGUGAGCAAUCACCGCUGUGAAGGUGCUGCAUGGUUGUCGUCAGCUCGUGCCGUGAGGUGUCGGCUUAAGUGCCAUAACGAGCGCAACCCUUAUCUUUAGUUACUAACAGGUUAUGCUGAGGACUCUAGAGAGACUGCCGUCGUAAGAUGUGAGGAAGGUGGGGAUGACGUCAAAUCAGCACGGCCCUUACGUCCGGGGCUACACACGUGUUACAAUGGGGGGUACAGAAGGCAGCUAGCGGGUGACCGUAUGCUAAUCCCAAAAUCCUCUCUCAGUUCGGAUCGAAGUCUGCAACCCGACUUCGUGAAGCUGGAUUCGCUAGUAAUCGCGCAUCAGCCACGGCGCGGUGAAUACGUUCCCGGGCCUUGUACACACCGCCCGUCAAGCCAUGGGAGCCGGGGGUACCUGAAGUACGUAACCGCAAGGAUCGUCCUAGGGUAAAACUGGUGA
rnacentral:rRNA from 1 species